UCCGGUUUGCCACCGGCAGUCUCAUUAGAGUGCCCUUUCGUAGCAACUAAUGACAAGGGUUGCGCUCGUUGCGGGACUUAACCCAACAUCUCACGACACGAGCUGACGACAGCCAUGCAGCACCUGUAUACCGACCUUGCGGGGGCUACAUCUCUGCAGCUUUCCGGCAUAUGUCAAACCCAGGUAAGGUUCUUCGCGUUGCAUCGAAUUAAUCCGCAUGCUCCGCCGCUUGUGCGGGCCCCCGUCAAUUCCCUUGAGUUUUAACCUUGCGGCCGUACUCCCCAGGCGGAGUGCUUAAUGCGUUAGCUGCGACACCGAAGCCCUAAGGGCCCCAACGUCUAGCACUCAUCGUUUACGGCGUGGACUAC
rnacentral:misc_RNA from 1 species